rnacentral:rRNA from 1 species
GAUGAACGCUGGCGGCGUGCCUAAUACAUGCAAGUCGAGCGAACAGACGAGGAGCUUGCUCCUCUGACGUUAGCGGCGGACGGGUGAGUAACACGUGGAUAACCUACCUAUAAGACUGGGAUAACUUCGGGAAACCGGAGCUAAUACCGGAUAAUAUAUUGAACCGCAUGGUUCAAUAGUGAAAGACGGUUUUGCUGUCACUUAUAGAUGGAUCCGCGCCGCAUUAGCUAGUUGGUAAGGUAACGGCUUACCAAGGCAACGAUGCGUAGCCGACCUGAGAGGGUGAUCGGCCACACUGGAACUGAGACACGGUCCAGACUCCUACGGGAGGCAGCAGUAGGGAAUCUUCCGCAAUGGGCGAAAGCCUGACGGAGCAACGCCGCGUGAGUGAUGAAGGCCUUCGGACCGUAAAACUCUGUUAUUAGGGAAGAACAAAUGUGUAAGUAACUAUGCACGUCUUGACGGUACCUAAUCAGAAAGCCACGGCUAACUACGUG